CACUAUGGUUUCGAUUCUAUAUAAUUAGCCAAUCCCAGUAGAAAAUUAUUGACUGGAUUCGGCCAAUAUUCUUAUUCAAUUUCAACUGAAUUUAAUGCCAGCCACAAUAAACAGGUCUUCUCGAUAAAAAUCAGACUUUUGUAAUGACUAACCCUGUUAGUAAUAAAAAAUAAAAUAAAAUCCAGCGGUUGUCAAUAUGGACCCCACAGUAGUAUAAGG